AUAAGUAGACCAUGUCCGGCUU
rnacentral:miRNA from 1 species